UUUAUGGAGAGUUUGAUCCUGGCUCAGGAUGAACGCUGGCGGCGUGCCUAAUACAUGCAAGUCGAGCGAACGGACGAGAAGCUUGCUUCUCUGAUGUUAGCGGCGGACGGGUGAGUAACACGUGGAUAACCUACCUAUAAGACUGGGAUAACUUCGGGAAACC
rnacentral:rRNA from 1 species